ACGGCAUGGUGGGGGCACUUUCUAAGUAAUUCCUUGAGUCUUUCCCACGCUUCAUGAAAUUGUUCGCCCUAUAAUUGGAAGAAACUAGUAAUGGCAUACCUAAGGCU